rnacentral:lncRNA from 1 species
AUUAGGAUUUGGUUUAGGAUUUGGUUAGGAUUUGAUUUAGGAUUUAGGAUUUUAUUAGGAUUUAAGAUUCAAUUAGUUUGGCUUAAAGUUUGAAUGAAGUUCAAUAAGAUUUUAACUAGAAUUAAAUUAAGAUUGAAUUGAGAUGUAUUUGAAUGACAUUUGUGUUCUUUCUAAUGUUUCUUUAAAAAUUCCUAUUGUUUGUUUGAAAUUUCUUUGAGGUUUUUUUGAAUUUGAUUAAGCUUGCUUAGUAUUAUUAUA